UUUUUUCUAAUGUUACUUUCUACGUAAUUUUUGUCCGUCAAACUAAAUAUAAUAUAGUUUUGGUUUGGUCUUGUUGAAUCGUUGCCUUCGUUUUUUUUUUUAGUGAUAUCUAGGUGUAAUGUUUGUUUUCGUUAGUUUGUGUUUUGCUCAGUUUUAUCGUUGGUCGUCGAGACGGUUGAUGGUUUUAUCAUUUUCCACGCUCGAGACGCGUUUGUAUGUAUACAUACAUCGUCUUCUCGCAUCAAAACUGUAUAAUCUCAAAACUUACUAAUUUUACAGGAGAGUGUUUUAAAGGUUUAACAUAUUGUGAUAUUUUUAAUAUUAAUCAUCUUUGCAACAUUUAUUCUUCAUUUUUUACCAGAUACAUUAUCUGUUUUUUAAAGUAUGAGAAAAUGAUGUAUUAAUUUUGUUAAUAGUAGUCGUAAAUAAGGGUAAAUUAAAAAAAAAAAAGAAACUAAGGUACGCUCUUUUGACAGUAUUUAUGAGAAAAAUACUGGUGAUACCAAAUUAUUCCGCAUAUUAACUCAAUUUCUAAUCUUUUUGGAAAUUGUGCACUUUUAAUGCGAAAAUUAUCUAAUGCUCUAACUACAUAUACAUGAGCGUUUUUUAGUUGCAAUUACAAUUUGUCUAUACUUCUAUACUAAUUAAAGAGGAAACAUUUGUUUGAUUGUUUGUAUUGAAUAGGCUCCGAAACUAGUGAACCGAUUUGAAAAAUUCUUUCACUGUUUGGAAGCUACACUAUUCCAGAGUAACAUAGGCUAUAAUAAACUUUUUUGAAAAAAUAAUUGUGAUCCUUACUAAAACUCAAAUAAUGUAACCCGAGGUGUAAAAAAAUUACCUAUAACAAAUUCUUUACAUCGUGUGCCCUGCAAAAACUAUUGGUGAUAGAAUAAAAUAAUGUACUACGACUUUGUAGAACACAUUAUUAUUUACAAAGGUGUCGCGACAGCAUAUGUCUAACUAUUAUAGUUGCGCCGCAAUAAGGGUUCUUUUAUUUAAAAAAAUAAUACAACGUCAAAUAUCGUUGAAAUUUUUGUUAAAGAUCCGAGCGAAGCCGGAGCGGGCCGCUAGUUUGUUAUACUUGCAAUCCAAAACAGACUAUAGACAAAUGAACUUAGGAAUGAUUUUUACAAAAUAAAAACUGCCGUUAUUACAGAGAUUGGAUGUUUAAUGAACGAAAGAAUUAAAAUUAUCGCCGAAAUAAUUUCACGGUUGGCGUGUUUACGGUUCGUCAGUUGAUGUCGGGAGUUUUUUUUGUUUUGUUUCGGCCAAGUGAAAAGGCCUCAAUUGGGCCUUGGUAUCCGGUGUUGCGACGUACAAUACCGCCGGUCUGGUCUGGCCAUUGUCGAUAACAACGUACAUAUCGUAUGCUUGUAGUGCAGUUGUUCACGAGCAAGAUUAAAUUCCCUUUAGCUUAAUCACGAAUAUCUGGUAUACUAUAACUGUCUGGUAACUAUACUGAGACCUUAGAAUUUAUAUCUCAAGGUGGGUGGCGCAUUUACGCUGUACCGCUGUAGAUGUCUAUGGGCUCUAGUAACCACUUAACACUAGGUGGGCUGUGAGCUCGUCCACCUAUCUAAGCAAAAAAAAAAUUCUGUAUACAGAAUAUUGACUGUUUUUUCUUAAAGCAGCGGUACAGUAAUGCCUAUGGCGCGUCGAUGGGUGGCGUAACCAUUUUACAUUAAAUGGGCCGCAAACUCCCAAGAACAUAGAUAUGGUUAACCCGUAGACACAGUCCACUGAGUUUCUUGCCGGAUCUUCUCAGUGCGCCGCGAUUCCGAUCCGGUGGUAGAUUCUGCGGAGCACUGCUCUUGCUAGGGCUAGUGUCAGCAAAUUCUCUCAGGUUGAGCCCGUGAGCUCGCCUACCAGUCCGAUGCUGGCUGGAAUAGUCCCCUAAGCUACCAGCCAAAAGGUAGAAUAUUCUAUAAAAAAAAAAGAAAAUAGAAAAAGUAGAGAAAGAGAUUAACAUUCAUUACUCGUUGCGAAUAUUCAGAAAGUGUGUUUACAAAAUUUCAAGAAUAAAUAUUCACUGCUGGUUAGAGCCUGAAAAACGAAUUAGAGAAGAAAGAAUAAAAAAACUUUCACUCGAUUCGACCACGAAUGUGUAAAUCUCGUGUUUUUUUAUAACUAAAUACAAAUUCACGUCUGUGUGCUUGGUGCGAGUUUCUUAACGUUCUCGAUAGAGUAAAAGUUAACGCAAUUUUGUAUGCAGUUGGAACAGCGCCCCUAGCGGCAAACGCACGCAAACGAUCCCAUUACAUACAAAUAUGAGUUAACUUUUACGCUAUCGAGAACGUUAAAAAACUCGCACUAAGCACACAGAACUUACGAGAAAUGCCUAAUGAAUAAUACGAGCUAAUGUUAGAAAAAAAAAAAAAAAUGUUGGUUAUAAAUUACAUAAUUAAAGUACAGUCAAAACCGUUUACUGCGACAUCGUUUAAUACAACAUGCCGGUUAUAAUAACCAAGAACAAAGGUCCCGGCUGAAUGCCAUAUGACCGCCUUAUUAAAAAUAUUGCUUUAUACGACAUUGCUAAUAACGACAUACCUCAUAAAACGACCACAUUUAACUAAUAUUUCGGAGAAUUAGAACGACCGGCUAAGCUGUAUUGUAAACAAUUUGAAUAGGUAUCCACAUUUGUCUUUUAUGGCUAUUAAAAUCAGGAAAGAAAACAAUGGAUUUAGUUUAGUGUAGGGUAUUUUCUAAUUCUUAGAAACAAAACACGUGCAUGCGGUAGUCAAAGCCCACUUCUUAAUAUCUCUUCAGUUAGUUUGUAACCUGUCUAUACACAAGACGCACCAAAACUUUGUGGAGUUAUUCGUGAAACUUUCAAAAUCUCGCAAAGAAAAAGAAAACAAAUGAAUAUUAAAGAAAAAUCGCGUAUUAUGCAAAUAUAUUUUACCAAUAAUACCCUAUCGAUUUGUUUGUACUUGCACGAUACACAUUAAACAUUACCGGUUGUUACGACUAUCGGUUUUUACGACUGAAUAUGAGCAGUCCCUUCGAUGUCGUUAUAACAGAUUUUGACUGUAAUCAAAAUAUGGGAUAUGGCAUGUGCUAAGACGUGAUACUAUAACAUAAUAAAUAAUAAGGCAGAAACAAAUUAGUACGUUACAAUUACAUUAAUGUGUCGCGUGAUCACAAAACGCUUUCGUUUAUUGACGGAUGGAUGACAAUCGUGACAUAAUUAACAAAAUUUAUCGAUAGUAUAACAUUAAUUAUGUUAUUACACAGUCUUGAUGAAUGUAUGCUAAUUAGGGCAUCUCUGUUAUGUGAGUUUAGUUUUCGAUUAUAAUGUAAUACCUUCGUCUAAUUAUUAAUUAUUAGUAUGUUUGGGUUAAAGGAAGUUUUAAAGUCGAGACAAAAGGGCUGUGCUUGAAAUUGACGCAUUGGGAUUUCGGCUGAGAUAAAUCCUACUAUUACAUUCGAUACUAUUACAUUAAAAGUCUCGAUUUAGUAUGCAUUUAUAUCGAGGGGUGAAAGACUAUUUGGUUGUAAGCGAUAAUUCGCUUAAUACUUGACAUUUAUCUUUGUAAUUAAAGGUACGUUUUAUUUGGUACUAGCGACCCGCCCUCGCUUCGCUUCGGCAACUGUAAUUUAUUAUUGAUUUCUCCACUAUUUAAUGGAUGUUAUUAUACAUAUAAACCUUCCUCUUCAAUUGCUCUAUCUAUUAAAAAAAACUGCAUCAAAAUCCGUUGCGUAGUUUUAAAGAUUUAAGCAUAGGUACAUAGGGACAGAGAAAGCGACUUUGUUUUAUACUAUGUAGUAAUUAGCAUCAACAGUUCGAUGUUUUUAAGUGAACUUAGGGUUAUCACACCAUUCAAAUAGCUGAAAAAGUUUUUUUUUUUGAUAUUUUUUCUAAAUUUUAAACUAUGAAUGGCGGCUCUCCUGUAAAGUUGCAAAAAUGUCGCUUAAACCAAAUAAAUAAUCUUUCACCCCUUUAUUAUUACAUAUGUAAUGAGUAAUUAUUUACGUAAAAUGUGGAGACCAUUGCUAUAUUUACUAUUUUCAUUUCACUUGUAUGUACUUUGGAUUUAUACUAUUUUAGGAACCGCAGGUAGUGGUAUGUACCGAGCAUAAAUUAGUCGGUUUUUAGUGAUUAAUUAAUUGAUUUUGUUUUAAGAAACAAUUGGUCCUGUUUGGGUUUUUUAUUUAUUUUUUCCUUAUUGCCAAUAAACCAUGCGAAUAAAUAACGUGAUUCGAAAAUGAGCCAUUCUCAUUUCUUCAUCGAUAUCUAUGAAAGGUUCGUUAUCUGUGUGUUGUGAUAACGCCGAUAGAUAAGGAACGUGAAAACGUGGCUCCAAGAAUGAUGUCACCCUGUACAACGGUGGGCGCGUUGUUACCCAGACAAAAGUCUAUUAGAAAGUUUCAUUCUUUCGGUAAUUUAAACGCGAAGAGAAGAAAGUCAAAAAAAUCAGACCCGCAAAAUUGUAAUUAGCGUAAUUACUGGUGGUAGGACCUCUUGUGAGUCCGCGCGGGUAGGUACCACCGCCCUGCCUAUUUCUGCCGUGAAGCAGUAAUGCGUUUCGGUUUGAAGGGCGGGGCAGCCGUUGUAACUAUACAUGAGACCUUAGAACUUAUAUCUCAAGGUGGGUGGCGCAUUUACGUCGUAGAUGUCUAUGGGCUCCAGUAACCACUUAACACCAGGUGGGCUGUGAGCUCGUCCAACCAUGUAAGCAAUAAAAAAAAAUCAUAUCUUUAAUUUACAAUGGAAACUUCGUUGUACUUUGAAAUUUUUACGACAUCCCAUUUUUUCAUUGCGUCGUUGUUCAAAAAGGAUUCAAAAAACAGCCUCCUCUGGCCGCGAUCAAGAGUCGCUAUUGCUGCCCUAUACUGAUAGCCCGAGAGCCCGUGGGAUCUACCUGUAUGUAUUUGACCAGACCUGAAUUUUCGUACAUUGAGACCCCUAUACCUACCAUGCAUGAGGUGGGGACUCACUAAGCUCAAAGUGGUCGACGCGCCGAGCGCUCAGGUAGGACAGGUACCGAUUUUGACGGAUUUUAAAUCCAUUUGACCACGUCUGCCGUUUUGAAAUUUUGAAAAUAUAUGAUUAUUAUUAUCGGAAAAUAAGAAUGGCAGACCAUUAUCGCGCAUUUUACUUUGUGGCAGACCACUUUGAAAAUGCUAAAUUGCAUUGAAAAUGCAAAAUUUUGAAAGUAAUUGACUAGAUCUGCCAUUGAUUUAAUAAUAUGUUGUUUAUUAUAGUCUUAAAAACUUAUAUUGAUCACGGCAGACCUCUACGUUGCGUACAUACAUCAACAUAUAAUAAAAUCUUAGCUACUACCCGGCCAGAUGUAUAUUAUGUUUUCCGUUCACUGUUUUAGAGGAAUAUAAUUUACUUGCGAUUUACUUUAGCAAUGUAUUUACCGAAAUUAAUAUUUUUUUUAUAUUAUAUAUACUAAACUUCAUUACUUAGACAAUUAAGAAGUGAAUUUUUUAUGGAAUAAUUAUAAAUAAUACGGUAUAAUGCUGAUCAAAAAAUAAUUCAAUUCCUCAUUUUUAUCAUUCAACAUUUAACUUGCCAGCUAUACAAUGCCAAAAAAUCUAGUGAUGUAGAUGAUGGAAGGUUCCAGCUAUUCGUUAGCAACUAUAAAUAUUCAGACAUCAAUGAAAAUUAUAGAAAAAAAAAUCAAAAAUUUGAGGCAAGCUCAAUACCACCGCAUAAGAGUGAGCUUUAUCAACAACUUUUGAGGGCCCACUAUAUUUCUUCUAUUUGGAGAAAUGCUUACAAAAAGCAACUGACAACUUUAGACCCAUUGGAGUAUGGUUAGAUUGAGCAGGACAACAUAUAUGCCUUCAAAGGGUUCGAAGGUGACCAACUUCCAUAUUUUGUGAGUGACUUAAUCACCAAUGUUCCUGUAUUCGAUUCAAUGGUUGAUGAAGACGAGUCGCCUAACGAUAAAGAUGACUCCGAUGAUGAUGAUGAUGAAUGAAGAUUGAUAUAUAUAUAUAUAAUAUGUAAUGCAUGCAUGAUAUAUUUUUUUAACUGAUUUAACACUUUUAAAUUUUGUCUUGACGAAAUAAAAAUGAGAAAUUGAAUUCUUUUUUGAUCA